UCCGAGUUGACCCCGGCAGUCUCCCAUGAGUCCCCGCCAUAACGCGCUGGCAACAGUCGGCAAGGGUUGCGCUCGUUGCGGGACUUAACCCAACAUCUCACGACACGAGCUGACGACAGCCAUGCACCACCUGUGAUCCUGCCCACAAGGGGAAACCGUGUUUCCACGGCGGUCAGGAACAUGUCAAACCCAGGUAAGGUUCUUCGCGUUGCGUCGAAUUAAACCACAUGCUCCGCUGCUUGUGCGGGUCCCCGUCAAUUCCUUUGAGUUUUAGCCUUGCGGCCGUACUCCCCAGGCGGGGAACUUAAUGCGUUAGCUUCGGCACGGACGGAGUCGACACCGCCCACACCUAGUUCCCAUCGUUUACGGCGUGGACUAC
rnacentral:misc_RNA from 1 species